rnacentral:rRNA from 1 species
AGUGAACGCUGGCGGUAGGCCUAACACAUGCAAGUCGAACGGCAGCACAGUAAGAGCUUGCUCUUACGGGUGGCGAGUGGCGGACGGGUGAGGAAUACAUCGGAAUCUACUUUUUCGUGGGGGAUAACGUAGGGAAACUUACGCUAAUACCGCAUACGACCUACGGGUGAAAGCAGGGGAUCUUCGGACCUUGCGCGAUUGAAUGAGCCGAUGUCGGAUUAGCUAGUUGGCGGGGUAAAGGCCCACCAAGGCGACGAUCCGUAGCUGGUCUGAGAGGAUGAUCAGCCACACUGGAACUGAGACACGGUCCAGACUCCUACGGGAGGCAGCAGUGGGGAAUAUUGGACAAUGGGCGCAAGCCUGAUCCAGCCAUACCGCGUGUGUGAAGAAGGCCUUCGGGUUGUAAAGCCCUUUUGCGGGGAAAGAACAGCAGCAGGUUAAUACCCCGCUGUUCUGACGGUACCCAAAGAAUAAGCACCGGCUAACUUCGUG